rnacentral:tRNA from 1 species
AAAGUUUUAGUAUAAUUAGGUAUGUCUCGUUGUCGGCGGGGAGGGGGAGGACUUUG